GCCCCCAUCGUCUAGCGGCCUAGGACGUCGCCCUUUCACGGCGGUAGCACGGGUUCGAAUCCCGUUGGGGGUG
rfam:Nocardioides sp. CF8 chromosome, whole genome shotgun sequence.